rnacentral:rRNA from 1 species
AUUGAACGCUGGCGGCAUGCCUUACACAUGCAAGUCGAACGGCAGCGGGGACUUCGGUCCGCCGGCGAGUGGCGAACGGGUGAGUAAUGUAUCGGAACGUACCUUUCAGUGGGGGAUAACGUAGCGAAAGUUACGCUAAUACCGCAUAUUCUGUGAGCAGGAAAGCAGGGGAUCGCAAGACCUUGCGCUGAUUGAGCGGCCGAUAUCAGAUUAGCUAGUUGGUGAGGUAAAGGCUCACCAAGGCGACGAUCUGUAGCGGGUCUGAGAGGAUGAUCCGCCACACUGGAACUGAGACACGGUCCAGACUCCUACGGGAGGCAGCAGUGGGGAAUUUUGGACAAUGGGGGCAACCCUGAUCCAUCCAUGCCGCGUGAGUGAAGAAGGCCUUCGGGUUGUAAAGCUCUUUCGGCCGGGGAGAAAUCGUAUGGGCUAAUACCCUGUGCGGAUGACGGUACCGGCAUAAGAAGCACCGGCUAACUACGUGCCAGCAGCCGCGGUAAUACGUAGGGUGCGAGCGUUAAUCGGAAUUACUGGGCGUAAAGCGUGCGCAGGCGGUUUUGUAAGACAGGCGUGAAAUCCCCGGGCUCAACCUGGGAACUGCGCUUGUGACUGCAAGGCUAGAGUAUGGCAGAGGGGGGUGGAAUUCCACGUGUAGCA